UAUACGGGGGAUGCAAGCGUUAUCCGGAAUCAUUGGGCGUAAAGCGCCUGUAGGUUGUUUAAUAAGUCUGUUGUUAAAGACUAGGGCUCAACCCUAGAAAAGCAAUGGAAACUACUAGACUAGAGUAUGGCAGGGGUAGAGGGAAUUUCUAGUGUAGCGGUGAAAUGCGUAGAUAUUAGAAAGAACACCAGUGGCGAAAGCGCUCUACUGGACCAUUACUGACACUCAGAGGCGAAAGCUAGGGUAGCAAAAGGGAUUAGAUACCCCUGUAGUCCUAGCCGUAAACGAUGGAUACUAGAUGUUGUAUUUAUUUUACAGUAUCGUAGCUAACGCGUUAAGUAUCCCGCCUGGGGAGUACGCUCGCAAGGGUGAAACUCAAAGGAAUUGACGGGGGCCCGCACAAGCGGUGGAGCAUGUGGUUUAAUUCGAUGCAACGCGAAGAACCUUACCAGGGCUUGACAUACUGCGAAUCUUUUUGAAAAGAAAGAGUGCCUUCGGGAAUGCAGAUACAGGUGGUGCAUGGCUGUCGUCAGCUCGUGUCGUGAGAUGUUGGGUUAAGUCCCGCAACGAGCGCAACCCUUGUUUUUAGUUACCAAUUCGUUGGGUUUUCUAGAAAGACUGCCGGUGACAAACCGGAGGAAGGUGAGGAUGACGUCAAGUCAGCAUGCCCCUUAUGUCCUGGGCUACACACGUGCUACAAUGGUUAGGACAAAGAGUUGCAAAUUUGCAAAAAUUAGCUAAUCUCGUAAACCUAGCCUAAGUUCAGAUUGUAG
rnacentral:rRNA from 1 species